rnacentral:rRNA from 1 species
UGCACAAUGGGCGAAAGCCUGNUGCAGCAACGCCGCGUGGGGGAUGAAGCUCCUCGGAGUGUAAACCCCUUUCGACCCGGACGAAUGCCCGCAAGGGUUUGACGGUACGGGUAUAAUGAAGCCCCGGCUAACUACGUGCCAGCAGCCGCGGUAAUACGUAGGGGGCCAGCGUUGCUCGGAAUUACUGGGCGUAAAGGGUCCGUAGGCGGUGCGGCAAGUCGGGAGUGAAAUCCCUGGGCUUAACUCAGGGGCUGCUUCCGAAACUGCCGUGCUAGAGUGCGAGAGAGGCAAGUGGAAUUGCGGGUGUAGCGGUGAAAUGCGUAGAUAUCCGCAGGAACAUCCGAGGCGAAAGCGGCUUGCUGGAUCGCAACUGACGCUGAGGGACGAAAGCUAGGGGAGCAAACAGGAUUAGAUACCCUGGUAGUCCUAGCCCUAAACCAUCAGGACUUGGGGUUUGCCCUGUACGGGGCAAGUCCCGCAGCUAACGCGUUAAGUCCUGCGCCUGGGGAGUACGGUCGCAAGGCUGAAACUCAAAAGAAUUGACGGA